AUGUCGCCUCCAAGAUGGCGCCGCGCGGAUCUCAAUUCCCGCCCCCGGCGGUUCCCGGAUGCGGCCCUCAGCGCUGCGCCAGACGGGGAGACGCAAAAUGGCGCCGCGCUGCGCCCUUCCUCCUCCUCCUCCUCCUCCUCCUCCUCCUCCCCCUUCUCCUCCUCCGCCUCCUGCCCCGCUCCGGCCCAAAGAUGGCGGACGUCCCCUCAGCGCUCCAAAAUGGCGGCGGCCGCGGCCCCGCGUCUCACCGCUCCCUCCCUUCCCGCUCCCCCCGCACCUCUCCGCUCUUCUCCCGCCGCCUCCGCGCCGCCCGCGCUCCGCCGCUCGCUCUCAGCCGCCGCCGCUGCUGCUGAAGGCCUGGAGGGCCCCGUGAGCCGCCGCGGCUACGGCCGCUUGGGAGCCGCCAUGUUGGACGCGUCUCCUCCACCCGCCACCAAGAUGGCGCACGGCGGGACCCGGAUGUUGGCGCCUAACGGCUCCAUGCAUCACCGCACAUGCGCGGCCUCGCCUCCUCCGUUCUGCGCAUGCGCUUCUCUCCGCCCCAGUCGCCACGCGCAUGCACACGCCUCUUCCACUCCGUUGUGCGCAUGCGCUCCGCCCCCCUCCCGCUCGCGCGCUGUUUCCCGCCCAAAGUUUAUUGCGCAUGCGCAGUGCUUCAUCUUCGCCUAUUUUUACUCAGACACCCUAAUUUCGAGUUUUUUUCCCUCCUUCUCCUCGAUUCGCCCCCACUUCUCCUCAUGGUUCCCCCCGGGAACGCGGUUUAAGGGGAGAUCCGGGCGGUCCCCGUGGGGUCCCCUCAGUCUUCCCUCAGCGCCGCCGCCAUUUUGGGCGCCGCCGUCCCCGCGGGCGGAGCGCGCUCCGGGGCUCCGCCACAGCCCCGCGCGGGGACCGCACGGUGAGGGGGACAGCGGGCCGCGGGACGGAGCCAGGGAGGGCCGCGGGGUCGGGACUGCACCCCAUGGGCCGUGUCCCCGCUCUACGGGCGCCGUUGGGAGGCGCCGGCCGCUGCCCUCAGCCCCGGUCCCCGCCGUGGCUCCGCCUCUGGGGGUGGCCCCGAACCGCCGCCGUGGGGCGGGAGAGGGUGGGGGGGGGUGA
rnacentral:lncRNA from 1 species